rnacentral:misc_RNA from 1 species
GAAAUUGAGAGACUACCCAGAGAAGGAGAGACCGUCUCAGCCAAGAGUGGGCAGACACUUGCAGGUGGGAAGGGAGCCAAUCAGGCAGCUUGUGGUAGUAAACUCUCAUACCCAACGUACUUUGCGGGGCAGGUGGGUGAGGAUGCACAUGGGAAGUUGAUCAUUGAGGCGUUGAGAAAUGGAGGAGUUCAUCUUGAUUAUGUAAGGCAUGUUGGUGAUGUGCCUACUGG